CGCUGGCGGCAUGCCUAACACAUGCAAGUCGAACGAGACCUUCGGGUCUAGUGGCGCACGGGUGCGUAACGCGUGGGAACCUGCCUUUAGGUUCGGAAUAACUCAGAGAAAUUUGAGCUAAUACCGGAUAAUGUCUUCGGACCAAAGAUUUAUCGCCUUUAGAUGGGCCCGCGUUGGAUUAGCUAGUUGGUGGGGUAAAGGCCUACCAAGGCGACGAUCCAUAGCUGGUCUGAGAGGAUGAUCAGCCACACUGGGACUGAGACACGGCCCAGACUCCUACGGGAGGCAGCAGUGGGGAAUUAUUGGACAAUGGGGCGAAAGCCUGAUCCAGCAAUGCCGCGUGAGUGAUGAAGGCCUUAGGGUUGUAAAGCUCUUUACCCGAGAUGAUAAUGACAGUAUCGGGAGAGUAAGCUCCGGCUAACUCCGUG
rnacentral:rRNA from 1 species